GACCUCUUGGCUCAGUGGUAGAGCAUCUGAUUCCAGAGAAAUUAUAUUAACUUAUGUGUUGAUUACGUAAUUUGGCCUCCAGAAGGUCGUCCGUUCGAUCCGGGCAGAGGUCA